UACGAAGGGGGCUAGCGUUGUUCGGAAUUACUGGGCGUAAAGCGCGCGCAGGCGGUUCUCCAAGUCAGUGGUGAAAGCCCGGAGCUCAGCUCCGGAACUGCCAUUGAAACUGUUGAACUUGAGGACGAGAGAGGUGAGUGGAAUUCCCAGUGUAGAGGUGAAAUUCGUAGAUAUUGGGAAGAACACCGGUGGCGAAGGCGGCUCACUGGCUCGUUUCUGACGCUCAGGCGCGACAGCGUGGGGAUCAAACAGG
rnacentral:rRNA from 1 species